rnacentral:rRNA from 1 species
UACGGAGGAUCCAAGCGUUAUCCGGAAUUACUGGGCGUAAAGAGUUGCGUAGGUGGCAUAGUAAGUUGGUAGUGAAAGCGUUCGGCUCAACCGGAUACACAUUACCAAAACUGCUAAGCUUGAGGAUGAGAGAGGUUAUUGGAAUUCCCUGUGUAGCAGUGAAAUGCGCAGAUAUAGGGAGGAACACCGAUGGCGUAGGCAGAUAACUGGCUCAUUCCUGACACUAAGGCACGAAAGCGUGGGGAGCAAACGGG